rnacentral:rRNA from 1 species
ACGGUGCCUUGCUGUUUGGAUUAGUUUGUUUAGUUUUGAGCGAUUUGUUCUUUCGGAAAUCUGUUCUUUGGUGGCCUGUGCGGUGCUGUGUUGCGUGCGUGUGUGCGUGGUGUGGUGUUCGUGUGGUGGUUGAGAACUGUAUAGUGGAUGCGAGUAUCUUUAUUGUUGUAUGUGUUUGUGCGACGUGGUGUUGUGCAAAGUUGUGUAGUGCGAUCGGUGGAUGCCUUGGCACCAAGAGCCGAUGAAGGACGUUGUGACCUGCGAUAAGCCCUGGGGAGUUGGUGAGCGAGCUGUGAUCCGGGGGUGUCCGAAUGGGGAAACCUGGAAUGUCCGGAGUAGUGUCCGGUGGCCCUGCCCUGAAUGUAUAGGGGUGUGGGUGGUAACGCGGGGAAGUGAAACAUCUUAGUACCCGUAGGAAGAGAAUUCAAGUGUGAGUCCAUAAAUAGAGCUGAAAUCACAAACAACGUUCUAUCCUGUAACAAACGAGUGAGACAGUACCUCUGUGGUCAUGCCUUCUACACGUCCACAUAUUCUGGGAUUAAUCGAGCCAACAACCUGUC